rnacentral:rRNA from 1 species
GCGUAAGCGCACGCAGGCGGUCUGUCAAGUCGGAUGUGAAAUCCCCGGGCUCAACCUGGGAACUGCAUUCGAAACUGGCAGGCUAGAGUCUUGUAGAGGGGGGUAGAAUUCCAGGUGUAGCGGUGAAAUGCGUAGAGAUCUGGAGGAAUACCGGUGGCGAAGGCGGCCCCCUGGACAAAGACUGACGCUCAGGUGCGAAAGCGUGGGGAGCAAACAGGAUUAGAUACCCUGGUAGUCCACGCCGUAAACGAUGUCGACUUGGAGGUUGUGCCCUUGAGGCGUGGCUUCCGGAGCUAACGCGUUAAGUCGACCGCCUGGGGAGUACGGCCGCAAGGUUAAAACUCAAAUGAAUUGACGGGGGCCCGCACAAGCGGUGGAGCAUGUGGUUUAAUUCGAUGCAACGCGAAGAACCUUACCUACUCUUGACAUCCAGAGAACUUAGCAGAGAUGCUUUGGUGCCUUCGGGAACUCUGAGACAGGUGCUGCAUGGCUGUCGUCAGCUCGUGUUGUGAAAUGUUGGGUUAAGUCCCGCAACGAGCGCAACCCUUAUCCUUUGUUGCCAGCGGUUAGGCCGGGAAACUCAAGGAGACUGCCAGUGAUAAACUGGAGGAAGGUGGGGAUGACGUCAAGUCA